UGCGGGUUGGAGCAGUCUGGUAGCUCGUUAGACUCAUGAUCUAAAGGUCGUAGGUUCAAAUCCUACACCCGCAA
rnacentral:tRNA from 1 species